rnacentral:rRNA from 1 species
UAGUCGUACGAGCGCACCCUUGUCCUUAGUUUGCUAACAGUUCGGCUGAGAACUCUAGGCGAGACUGCCGGUGUACAAACCGGAGGAAGGUGGGGACGACGCCUAGUCAUCAUGGCCCUUACGACCUGGGCUACACACGUGCUACAAUGGGCAGUACAGAGGGUCGCGAAGCCGCGAGGUGGAGCUAAUCCCAGAAAGCUGUUCGUAGUCCGGAUUGGAGUCUGCAACUCGACUCCAUGAAGUCGGAAUCGCUAGUAAUCGCGAAUCAGAAUGUCGCGGUGAAUACGUUCCCGGGUCUUGUACACACCGCCCGUCACACCAUGGGAGUGGGUUGCAAAAGAAGUAGGUAGACUAACCUUCGGGAGGUCGCUUACCACUUUGUGAUUCAUGACUGGGGUGAAGUCGUAACAAGGUAGCCGUAGGGGAACCUGCGGCUGGAUCACCUCCUU